UAUGGCCACAGCACAGUGAAACACCAAUUCCUGUACCAUCACCAAAGUUAAGCAAAGUUGAGCCUGGUCAGUACCUAGAUGAGUGACCACUUGGGAAUACCAUGCACUGUAAG